AGUGAACGCUGGCGGUAGGCCUAACACAUGCCAGUCGAACGGCAGCACAGUAAGAGCUUGCUCUUACGGGUGGCGAGUGGCGGACGGGUGAGGAAUACAUCGGAAUCUACUUUUUCGUGGGGGAUAACGUAGGGAAACUUACGCUAAUACCGCAUACGACCUACGGGUGAAAGCAGGGGAUCUUCGGACCUUGCGCGAUUGAAUGAGCCGAUGUCGGAUUAGCUAGUUGGCGGGGUAAAGGCCCACCAAGGCUACGAUCCGUAGCUGGUCUGAGAGGAUGAUCAGCCACACUGGAACUGAGACACGGUCCAGACUCCUACGGGAGGCAGCAGUGGGGAAUAUUGGACAAUGGGCGCAAGCCUGAUCCAGCCAUACCGCGUGGGUGAUGAAGGCCUUCGGGUUGUAAAGCCCUUUUGUUGGGAAAGAAAAGCAGCAGGUUAAUACCCCGCUGUUCUGACGGUACCCAAAGAAUAAGCACCGGCUAACUUCGUG
rnacentral:rRNA from 1 species